rnacentral:tRNA from 1 species
GUCCUCGUAGCUCAGUAGGAUAGAGCGACUGCCUCCUAAGCAGUAGGUCGCACGUUCGACUCGUGUCGGGGACGCCA